rnacentral:rRNA from 2 species
CAGUGGCGAACGGGUGAGUAACACGUGGGCAAUCUGCCCUGCACUCUGGGACAACACCGGGAAACCGGUGCUAAUACCGGAUACGACGUACCUCGGCAUCGGGUGUGCGUGGAAAGCUCCGGCGGUGCAGGAUGAGCCCGCGGCCUAUCAGCUUGUUGGUGGGGUGAUGGCCUACCAAGGCGACGACGGGUAGCCGGCCUGAGAGGGCGACCGGCCACACUGGGACUGAGACACGGCCCAGACUCCUACGGGAGGCAGCAGUGGGGAAUAUUGCACAAUGGGCGCAAGCCUGAUGCAGCGACGCCGCGUGAGGGAUGAAGGCCUUCGGGUUGUAAACCUCUUUCAGCAGGGAAGAAGCGCAAGUGACGGUACCUGCAGAAGAAGCACCGGCUAACUACGUGCCAGCAGCCGCGGUAAUACGUAGGGUGCGAGCGUUGUCCGGAAUUAUUGGGCGUAAAGAGCUCGUAGGCGGCCUGUCGCGUCGGAUGUGAAAGCCCGGGGCUUAACCCCGGGUCUGCAUUCGAUACGGGCAGGCUAGAGUUCGGUAGGGGAGAUCGGAAUUCCU